rnacentral:rRNA from 1 species
UUAGCUUGCUAAGGCCGAUGGCGACCGGCGCACGGGUGAGUAACACGUAUCCAACCUGCCGUCUACUCUUGGACAGCCUUCUGAAAGGAAGAUUAAUACAAGAUGGCAUCAUGAGUUCACAUGUUCACAUGAUUAAAGGUAUUCCGGUAGACGAUGGGGAUGCGUCCCAUUAGCUAGUAGGCGGGGUAAAGGCCCACCUAGGCGACGAUGGGUAGCCGAGCUGAGAGGUUGAACGGCCACAUUGGAACUGAGACACGGUCCAAACUCC